rnacentral:rRNA from 1 species
GAUGAACGCUGGCGGCGUGCCUAAUACAUGCCAGUCGAGCGAACAGAUGAGGAGCUUGCUCCUCUGACGUUAGCGGCGGACGGGUGAGUAACACGUGGAUAACCCACCUAUAAGACUGGGAUAACUUCGGGAAACCGGAGCUAAUACCGGAUAAUAUAUUGAACCGCAUGGUUCAAUAGUGAAAGACGGUUUUGCUGUCACUUAUAGAUGGAUCCGCGCCGCAUUAGCUAGUUGGUAAGGUAACGGCUUACCAAGGCAACGAUGCGUAGCCGACCUGAGAGGGUGAUCGGCCACACUGGAACUGAGACACGGUCCAGACUCCUACGGGAGGCAGCAGUAGGGAAUCUUCCGCAAUGGGCGAAAGCCUGACGGAGCAACGCCGCGUGAGUGAUGAAGGUCUUCGGAUCGUAAAACUCUGUUAUUAGGGAAGAACAAAUGUGUAAGUAACUAUGCACGUCUUGACGGUACCUAAUCAGAAAGCCACGGCUAACUACGUG